rnacentral:hammerhead_ribozyme from 1 species
AUCCAGCUGAUGAGUCCCAAAUAGGACGAGAUACGCAUCCUGAAU